AGUUUCACGAGAACACUUUUAAGGUCGAAAAAAAAAAAACAGAGAGAGCGAAAGAAAAAAAGCUUCGAGGGUUUGCUUCUGUGACCGCCGUCCUUCCGACGGUGGCUCCGGCCAGUUGUUCUAGCUUAUGUUUUGUGCUUCCUUCUCACUUGUAUCUCACCGGUUCUUCUCCUUGGUUAUGCAAGGGUUCAGUUUUAGUUUCAGAUCUUCUUUUCUAGAUCUAUAUCUCUCGCAGGUCUUUGUCUUUUUUGGGGUUUGGAACUCAUUUUUACUCUCCAGAUUAUUGCAAUCUCUGGUGUUUCUUCUUUAUGAAUUCAAUGGAGUUUCGUCUUGGCGAGGUUCGUUGUAGUCUUGGGAGAUGCUUCUCUGGGUUGGCUAGGCCGUGUCGAGAGUGGUCGGUGUGGAUCCGGGAGUUGUCGCUGCUCCUUAUAAGCGACUGCUCCUCUUUUGUUGAGAAGGCUUUAGUUAGUUUAGCUUAAUGGUUUUAUGAGAUUUUAUUGCAACUGCUCUUUUCUCUUUGUGGGUUUCUCCCUAGGCUUAUUCGAAUCGCAUCCUUCACCUUUCCUUCCCUCUGAAGUUUAUGGUUUGGUCGAGAUCUGAAUGUGUUGUGCGUCCUCCUAACCGGUUACUAGUUGAGCUAGUUUCAAAUCCGGCCCAUGCAUUUCGUCGUGCCACACUUAUGAAGCACAAGGUUUCUAAUUUCCGAAGUCUACCCAUUUUAAGCGAGGACAAGAAGAGUUGAAGCCUCUAUUGGAUAUUGUCGGAGCCCCAACGAUGUCUGAUCUUUUUCUGCUCUCGGUUUGAACCUUUAUGGGAAGUUUGAGUUUAGUAGUUUGUAUAAUCUCAUGUAAAACCUUUUGUUUGCUUUAAGUUCUUGUCUCCCGUGUAAUCGGGCUAUGCUUCUCGAGGUUCCGAGCUUAGAUUAGUCGGAAUUUGCGGGCUUAUGUAUGCUUCCCUUGUUUGGGCUCUUGUCUCCGGGAAUAUCACUAUUUUCCGCCGGUUUAUCUUACCGGGGAUAUUAACUCUUCCGGUCGAUGUAUCCUUCUCUGUUUUAUUAAUAAAAAUUCAGACGAAAAAAAAAAAAAAA